UCCCUGGUGGCUCAGAUGGUAAAGCGUCUGUCUACAAUGCAGGAGACCUGGAUUCGAUCCCUGGAUUGGGAA
rnacentral:tRNA from 1 species